GUCGGUGUGGAAGGCUAGCUCUGAUGUGGAUGCUCUCAAAGCGGUUGCUCUUAAAGUAUGUGACAGGUGGAUUGAAAGCUGUGAACAGUUCUGGAUGGACACAAGAUACUAUGAGCAUACCUACUAUAACAUUGUUAGGCGACCCCUGCAACAGGUCUUCCUGAAAUAAGAGAUUCAGACUAGAAGCUACAUUGUUCAUGUUGGCUGAACUUUACUGCAAUAGGCUCAUCAGGAUGCUUAGACUAACGUGUAAAUCUCACAACAUCAAAGAUUAUAGUUUUUUCAUAAAAUUAACACAAUACCAUCCUGAACUGGGAACACUUUAGCGUAUAUAACCUUGUUAUCCUUGGAGAAAACUAGGGGUGCCAAAACGAAAUCUCCCAUUUGGCCACCUCACCCCCAUUGUCUGAACUCUGAAGGUUCGCUUUGUUGGA